GGUGCACGAACCGGCUAGCUUUAUCUGUUGGUAGAUGUAUGUGGAUAAUUGUGCUUGGCAUGCUGCCUUUAUGGGAUAGGUCUAAUAAAGUGAUCAAUCGGAGAUUGGUUAAUUUGGCCUUGACGUCUUUACUGGGGUGCAGGUCUUUCCUUUGUAAAGACCCGAUGAGUAAUGUCUAUUUCAAGAAUAAUUGGUUUACUGAUGGGUCUGAAAUGUUAUCAGCAUGCUUGGUGGUUAUGAUCCGGGUGCAGGUCUUUCCUUUGUAAAGACCCGAUGAGUAAUGUCUAUUUCAAGAAUAAUUGGUUUACUGAUGGGUCUGAAAUGUUAUCAGCAUGCUUGGUGGUUAUGAUCCGGGUGCAGGUCUUUCCUUUGUAAAGACCCGAUGAGUAAUGUCUAUUUCAAGAAUAAUUGGUUUACUGAUGCGUCUGAAAUGUUAUCAGCAUGCUUGGUGGUUAUGAUCCGUCAUUAGCUUGCUAUCAAAAUUCUUUUCUAACUUGUAGGGAUAGAGAUAAAGAUAAAACUGAUAAGAGUUUACUUGAACAACAUUUUGAUGUAAAGACUGAAGCACAUUACUGUUAGAUUACAAUUUAUGGCUUUACAUUUAGCUAUAUUUGGCUUGAAAUCUUUGAUGGGACGAGGUUAAUGUUCCUGUAGUGAUGCGCCUUUCAGAAUUAACUUGGAUGGAUGUUCUGUU